CCUUUAGUUUAAAAUCACACCUUUGGUACCUCCACUUUGGACUUUUAUUUUAUAAAGUCAGAUACUUCAUUGUUUUUAUGUACUUAUUUAACUCACAGCAAUAUUUGUGGUUGUACUUGUUUGUCUUCUUUGUGGCAAUGUUUUCCUAGUACAUGUAUCUCUUUUACUGUUGUCCCUUAGUCUUGCUCCAAUUUUCCCUUGCAAUGUGUUUUUAUGUUAGGCCAGCUACUUUCUGAUUAUUAUUCUGCAGAUUUUGUGUUCAUUUCCUUUUCCAUAAUUCAUCUUUUAAUAAAUUAUUCCUCGACAGGCUGUUUGCAAGAGGUUCGUGUAGAGAAGGGGCCAAGGACAUGUUCCAGAAUAGCAGGAACUUUUCUCAGGACACACACUUUUUACUUUACUUUUUCUCAACUGUAUGCAAUGUCAGUUUUAACCUUCUUCUCAAUGCAGGGUUUCUCUCUCUUCCCCUGCUGCACUCUCAUGAUGCUUCUGAAAAUAUCAUUCUCUGUGAAAUUCAUUCCUGAUAUCCCUGCUUCCGUUUUGUGCUAACGGAAGUGACAGCACACACAUCCAUUCCAUCAUUCCAAACUGUAGUUUGGUUUGCCGUUUAGUGUGAACCACUCUUUUAGGAUAACUCUGCUCUGCCACUUUGAGAUUUGCUUCUGUCAGUGUCUUCACCUAUUUCUCACUUUCCUUCAUAAAUUGUUGUUUGAGGAGAUGGUGAUCUUCUAGUUUGUUCAGGAAAAAUAUGUGGUUCUGUUUCUUGUUCUGGUUAUUCGGUAUUUCUAAGAAGGAGGGUUUUUUUUGUUUUUUGUUUGUUUGUUUGUUUGUUUGUUUGUUUUUUCUAUCUUAAGGAAAGAAAUUUCUAUUUGAUUUUGAAAUGCCCUGUUGGAUUUUGCUCUGAUUAUUCACAUAUUUAACUUCAUAAGUAGAAUUUAUUUCUAACAUUUCAUGUCUUACAAUUAAUGGAUAGUGGUCAAUAGAUUGUCCUGGAACCCAAAGCUACAGUGGGAUCAAUAUGACUACAGAUACUUUACCAGGCCACUGAAGGAAGUCAGUGCCUGGGAUUCUGAGAUGCAGCCACACCAUAAAGUUUCAUUACUCAGUUGCAGUAGAGAAAGCCUCAAAGGAACCACUUCUAAUGGAAGCUGCCUCAUUUCCUGGUCAAGUUUCACAGUGGAGGUGCUCUGAAAUGUGACUAAGUUAAGGAUUUUGAGAUGAAGAGAUUAUCCUGAAUUAUCUGAGUGGAUACUCAGAUACUCAGAUGUCAUCACAAGAAGCUUUAGAAGAGAGAAGCAUGAAAACCAGAAGAGAAGGAGGAGGCAACGGGACCAUAAAGACAAGAGAUUAGAGUGAUGUGGCCACAAGUCAAGAAGCGCCAGCGUCCAGCAAAAAACUGGAAGUCAGGAGCAGAAUCUCUCCUAGAGCCUGUGGAGGGAAUGUAACCCUGCCAAUAACUUGAUUUCGGCCUAGAGAAACUGACUUCAGACUUCUGGCCUCCAGGAUGGCAAGAGAAUUAAAUUGCUGUUAUUUUUAGUCAAGUAUGUGGUAAUUUUAUUACGACAGCCACAGAAAACUAGUACAGUGGAUUUUUAGCAUAUUAAAGAGCAGUAGAAUUGUGAUUUUAUCAAUACCUACUGGAUGGCAGGUUUCCUCUGCAGCAGAAGAGAAUAAAAUGUUGACUAGGUAAGGCUGACCACCAAAACUUCUGCCAUGAACUCAGCAGUGUGAACAGAUCCUGGGAAUCUAUGUACGCAUAAAAGGCCAUGAACAUUUUGCAUUUUCUGAUUUGAACUGAAUAGGCAUUCUACUCUGUAAAUGUUUCCAAAAAACUAAAUAUAUCUUUAUGUUAACCCUUUGCUAGAGAUGUUUAAACAAACAGAAAAAUAUCAGAUCUUAUUCACCAUUUUUGAUGUCAGUAAAGUGUGUUAUGCAAAUUGGCUUCAAAAAUUAAAACCUGUAACACAAUUUGAGUCUUGAAAUGUAUGCUAUGUAUGAUCUUAAAAACAUGUAGGUAGGUUUAUUAGUUCUUGGAGGUUCAUAGUAUUUCAUAUGUAUUUCAGACUAUAUGUAGGGAAUUGCUGACAAAUCUUGGUAUGACUAAAUCCAUCAUCAUGUUUUGAAAUGUCACCAAACUGAGCCCACAUAUUGUGAAGAGUGAAUAUAGUGUAUGGCCUCAAGAUUUUGUCUUAUAAUUUAAGUUUCAAUGUCCACACCUCAUCUAAAUUAGGGUACCAUUUGGACUCACAUGUUUAACUAAAUAAAUUUAUCACUGAGUAAUUACAUUAAACACAAAUUUAUCUUAAAGAUGUACAAAUUGUUUUCAUUGAGGAGAGUAGUUACUUUGGUAGCAUGUUAACAAACCCCUAGGAAGGUAGUUACUUUGGUAGCAUGUUAACAAAGCCCUAGGAAUUAUAAGACUGUAUUUUCAUGGAGGCAUACAUGUGUAGUAAUUGUAAAAUGGUUCUGUUUUCAUAUUUGGAUCUUUUUAUAUGAGUGUCUGUGUUAAGAAUUACCCAUAAUAAAAUAAAAUCUUAAUUUGAUAAAAUUAAUAUAUAGAAAUAAACUUUAUAAAUCAUAGACUUUCAAGAUGAUCAAAGAACCUUUCUGAUCAUCUAGUCUCACACCUUUUUUAUAGAAGACUAGACUAAAACUCACAAAUGUAAAUGAUCUCACUAAAGGCAUAUGGCAAGCUAUUGGACAAACCAGGAAUAAAACACAGGUCUUCCGACUCCUAGUCCAGGACUCAUCACAAACACCAUGACUCAUCAUUUUCAUUGUAAAAGACUCUGGCACAAGCUGUUAACUCAUUAAAUGGCUAAAGGAGGAAAGGUAAAAUAGUAAAACAGAGUGAAGGUGAUACCACCCUAUUGAAGAUCAUUCUAAAUUAAAGAUAGAUGUCUUUGAGAUUAUAAAUAAAAAUAUACUUCGAAUAUAUUUGACCGCAAUGUCAAUUUUAAAAUAUUCAAAGUUAGUUCUUCAAAAAACUAAUAAUAGAACUACAAUAUGAUCCAGCAAUCCCACUAUUGGGUAUAUAUCCAAAGGAUAGGAAAUCAGUAUGUCUAAGAGACAUUUGUACUUCCACGUUCAUUGAAGCAUUACUCACAGGAGUCAGGACCUGGAAUCAACCUAAAUGUUUAUCAGUGGAUGAAUGGAUAAAGUAAAUGUAGUAUAUAUACACAAUGGAAUAUUAUUCAGUCUUGAAAAUGAAGGAAACUCUGUCAUUUAAGACAACAUAAUUCAACCUAGAGAUCAUUAUCUCUAGGUUGUGAAAUAAGAAAGACAAAUACUGUAUGAUCUCACUUAAAUGUGGAAGCUAAAAAAGUUUAACUCACACAAACAGAGAGUAAAAUAGUGGUUACCAGAGUCCUGGGAAUUAGUAGCAGGGGUGAAAGGAUUGAGAAGAUGGUGAUCAAAGCACACAAAACUUCAGCUGGAAUGAAGGAAUAAGUUUAAGAGUUCUAUUGUACAUCAUAGUGACUACAGUUAACCACAAUAUAUUGUAUACUUGAAAAUUGCAAAAAAAUUGAUUUUAAGUGUCUUUACCACAAACAGAUAAUUAUGUGAGGUAAUGGACAUGACAAAGAGCCUGAUUUAGCCAUUCCACAACGUAUCCGUACAGCAAAACAUCAUAUGGUAUACCAUACGUAUAUAUAAUUUUUACUUGUUUAUUAAAUAAAUAAAAAUUUGAAAAAAUAUAUGUUUUAUCUUUCAAAGAAGAUUCAGAAUUUAAAAUAUUAAAUUUAAACUACAGAAAUGUUAGUCUAAGUUUGGAUUUUCUAAUACAAAAUAUUACUCCUUAUCACU